GUUGGACUCUAUUUUUCGUUGCGAAUCUCACUGUAGGCUCAAUGUGAGCUAAAUCUCGAGGUGUCAAAUUCUAACAGAUAGAUCGUCUAACAUUAGAGGUGUCGAGGCUGGAUUGAUUUUUGCCAGUCUCGAUGGUGUUAUAGUAGAGCAAGCCCUCCACUUCAACUUUAAAAUCUCCAAUUAUGAAGCAGAGUAUGAAAUACUUCUGAUCAGAUCGAGACUCACUCGGGAGCUUGGAAUCUAGUAUCUCCAAACCUUCAGUGACUCCAAACUAAUGGUUAGCUAAGUUCAUAGAGA
rnacentral:lncRNA from 1 species